GGUCAAGUGAAGAAGCGCAUACGGUGGAUGCCUUGGCAGUCAGAGGCGAUGAAAGACGUGGUAGCCUGCGAAAAGCUUCGGGGAGGUGGCAAACGACCUGUGAUCCGGAGAUGUCUGAAUGGGGAAACCCAACCAACACAAGUUGGUUAUCACACACUGAAUACAUAGGUGUGUGAGGCGAACCAGGGGAACUGAAACAUCUAAGUACCCUGAGGAACAGAAAUCAACCGAGAUUCCCUUAGUAGUGGCGAGCGAACGGGGACUAGCCCUUAAGCUUCCUUGAAUCUAAUAGAACGCUCUGGAAAGUGCGGCCAUAGUGGGUGAUAGCCCCGUAUAUGAAAGGUUCUGGGAAGUGAAAUCGAGUAGGACGGAGCACGAGAAACUUUGUCUGAACAUGGGGGGACCAUCCUCCAAGG
rnacentral:rRNA from 1 species